AUUGAACGCUGGCGGAAUGCUUUACACAUGCAAGUCGAACGGCAGCACGGGGGCAACCCUGGUGGCGAGUGGCGAACGGGUGAGUAAUACAUCGGAACGUGCCCAGUCGUGGGGGAUAACGUAGCGAAAGCUACGCUAAUACCGCAUACGAUCUACGGAUGAAAGCGGGGGAUCGCAAGACCUCGCGCGAUUGGAGCGGCCGAUGGCAGAUUAGGUAGUUGGUGGGGUAAAGGCUCACCAAGCCGACGAUCUGUAGCUGGUCUGAGAGGACGACCAGCCACACUGGGACUGAGACACGGCCCAGACUCCUACGGGAGGCAGCAGUGGGGAAUUUUGGACAAUGGGCGCAAGCCUGAUCCAGCCAUUCCGCGUGCAGGAUGAAGGCCUUCGGUUGUAACUAGCUUUUACGGUACGAAACGGACCUUUCUAAUUACAAGAAGGCGUAAUGACGGUACCGUAACGAAUAAGACACCGGCUAACUACGUAGCCAGCAGCCGCGGUAAACCU
rnacentral:rRNA from 1 species